CAUGAAGGAUGUGACGGGAGGGCGGCUUCCCUCCUUUAGGAGCUGUAUAUACAUUAAUCACUGAAUCACCAAGCCAUGCUUAAUUGCAAGCUGUAUAUCACACAAAUCCAUGGAAUUCAGAAAAGGUAUUACACCACUAAUUACAGCCACACCGCCACCUCCAACUCAGCUGCCUGAAAGAAAAGAACGGAACAGUCUAGAUCUGAUGCCAUCCCAGGCUUCUGCCUCAUUGCCACUAAAUGGUGGAGCUGAUAUCCGAAGCCCUGAGACCCAUUUCUGUACUUACUAGU